rnacentral:rRNA from 1 species
CGAACGAGUCGCAAGCUCGCGAGAGUAAGCUAAUCUCUUAAAGCCGUUCUCAGUUCGGACUGUAGGCUGCAACUCGCCUACACGAAGUCGGAAUCGCUAGUAAUCGCGGAUCAGCAUGCCGCGGUGAAUACGUUCCCGGGCCUUGUACACACCGCCCGUCACACCAUGGGAGUUUGUAACGCCCAAAGUCGGUGGCCUAACCUUUAUGGAGGGAGCCGCCUAAGGCGGGACAGAUGACUGGGGGUGAAGUCGUAACAAGGUAGC